rnacentral:SRP_RNA from 1 species
GGCAGGCCCCCACGCAACGGUAAGCUGUGAACCCCGUCAGGCCCGGAAGGGAGCAGCGGUAGCAGUGAUCCCGUGUGCCGUGGUGUGGCUUGCUGGA